GAUGAACGCUGGCGGCGUGCCUAAUACAUGCAAGUAGAACGCUGAAGCUUGGUGCUUGCACCGAGCGGAUGAGUUGCAAACGGGUGAGUAACGCGUAGGUAACCUGCCUCUUAGCGGGGGAUAACUAUUGGAAACGAUAGCUAAUACCGCAUAAAAGUUGACAUUGCAUGAUGUUGAUUUGAAAGAUGCAAUUGCAUCACUAAGAGAUGGACCUGCGUUGUAUUAGCUAGUUGGUGAAGUAACGGCUCACCAAGGCGACGAUACAUAGCCGACCUGAGAGGGUGAUCGGCCACUCUGGGACUGAGACACGGCCCAGGCUCCUACGGGAGGCAGCAGUAGGGAAUCUUCGGCAAUGGACGGAAGGCUGACCGAGCAACGCCGCGUGAGUGAAGAAGGUUUUCGGAUCGUAAAGCUCUGUUGUAAGAGAAGAACGAGUGUGAGAGUGGAAAGUUCACACUGUGACGGUAACUAACCAGAAAGGGACGGCUAACUACGUG
rnacentral:rRNA from 1 species